UCGAGGAUAAGCACGCUCCAUUAUUUAGCAAGGCUGCCUUCUUAUCCUUGUCCACCAUAGGCACGGCACCGACACUCUGCUGAGCGGGCAAGAGAUGAUGGAGGCUACGGGUGUCAUGGACUCCCUCCUGAAGAAACUUGGCGAUCUCCUCGCUGAGGAGUACACUCGCCUGAAAGGAGUCCGCCGCGAGAUCCGCUUCCUCCGGUCUGAGCUAAACAGCAUGAAUGCCGUUCUCCAAAAGUGUGCUGCAAUGGAGAGCCCAGACGUGCAAGUGAAGGCCUGGACAAGAGAGCUGAGGGAGCUCGCCUACGACAUCGAAGACUGCGUGGACGAGUUCGUCCGCGGAGUUGACACCAAGCGUCAGCGUCAGCGUCACGGUCGUCCAAGCUGCAUCAAGGAGUGCGCUCGGCGUCUCAAGGCGCUGGUGACGAGGCACGAGAUCGCCAACCAAAUCCAACAACUCAAGGCGCGUGUGGUGGAGGUGGCGGAGCAGCGCGUGAGGUACAAGCUCGAUCAAGUUUCCAGCAGCAGUCCCUGCAGCAGCAUUCGAGCCACGGAUCCUCGACUGUGGGCUCUGUUCCCAGAGGAGUCUCAGCUUGUGGGCAUCGAUGGCCCAAGGGAUGACCUUGCGAGCUGGCUCCUGAUGGAGGAUGACGACCUUGCUGGUCGUCGUCGCAAGGUGCUGUCCAUCUAUGGCUUUGGUGGUUUGGGAAAAACCACGCUUGCCAACGAGGUCCGGCGUAAGAUUGGGAAGCAAUUCGACUGUGAGGCGGUUGUGCCGGUCUCGCAAAAGCCCGAUGACAAGAAAAUCCUCUGGAAUAUACUCACUCGCGUAGACAAGAACCGUACUCUUGUCCAUGAAAGAGAGAUAUGGGACGAGCAAAGGAUUAUAGAAGAAAUAAGAGACCUACUGGAACAUAAGAGGUACUUUAUCAUAAUUGACGACAUAUGGUCUGAACGAGAUUGGAAUUUGCUGAAGUGUGCUCUGCCAGAGAACAAUAUGGGUAGUAGAAUAAUUACUACAACACGUAUCGAGUCUAUAGCAAAGGCAUGUUGCAGUCUUCCCGGUGACCGUUGCUACAAAAUUGAAGCACUGAGUGAGUCCCACUCAAGAAGCCUACUUUUUAAAAAAGUAUUUGGCUCUGAGGAUGGAUGCCCUGACAGAAUUAAGCAUAUUUCAGCUGAUAUACUAAGAAAAUGCAGUGGCCUCCCCCUGGCUAUAGUUUGCAUAGCUAGCUUAUUGGCUAGCAAGCCCAAUAUGAUCGAGCAAUGGGAAAAAGUGAGGGCAUCUACAGGAUAUGCAUUGCAAAUAAAACAAGAUCCUGGGGGUAUGGAAUCUAUAUUGUCACUCAGCUAUAGUGAUCUUCCGCAGCAUCUCAAAACUUGCUUACUCUAUUUGAGUGUAUUUCCUGAGGAUUAUGACAUUGAAAGAGGUAGUUUACUGAGAAGAUGGAUAGCUGAAGGAUUCAUAAAGGAGGAAGGGGGGUUAAUUGCAGAGGAUGUUGCUGAAAGCUACUUCAAUGAGCUCAUCAAUAGGAGUAUGAUUAUACCUGUUGACAUUGACCGUUCUGGAAAGGUGCGAGUUUGUCGUCUGCACGAUAUGAUGCUAGAACUACUGAAAUCAAGGGCAACAGAGGAGAAUUUUGUUACAAUCAUGGGUCCAGGCCCGCUUUCAACAAACCCAGAAGGUGUUAUCCGACGGCUAUCAAUUCAAUACAAUGAUCGAGAGCAGAAGUUGGAACCCCAAGAAAUGCCAUCGUUAACCCAUGUUAGAUCAUUCAGCACCUUUGGUGGCUCUUACAACCAGACACUACCAUUUGCUUAUUUUAGAGUUUUACGUGUCUUGAGUCUCGAUUGUCAGUUGAGUGGGGCGGAUGAUUUGAAGAUUAUUUGCAAACUACAUCAGCUGAAGUAUUUGAGACUGAAUGUACAUGAACUUCCUGCAGAAAUUGGAGAGCUGCGGUAUCUUGAGACACUAGAAUUGUGUUCUUACCGAGGGGUAAACUUGCUGCCCCAUGGUGUUACUCGGUUACAGCAUCUAAGGCAUCUUAUUGUGAACUGGAUGAUGUUGUUACCAGAAGCCAUUGGGAGCAUGCAAGCACUUCAGACACUACCACAUUUCAAUGUCCGUGACAGCCCAGUAAGUGCAGUGCAGGAGCUUGGCAAUUUGAAAAACUUGAGAGAUCUCUCGAUAUCAUGGAAUGAGCCAGCAGAAGGAAGGUGCAAGGAGUACUUGGCCUCUUCUCUCAACAAAUUGAGCAGUUACAACCUCCAGUCACUGAAUAUUGUUAGCGGACAAGCUAUUCCAGUUGAUUUUCUAGCAUCAUUAUCACCCCCACCGUACCUCCUUAAAAGAUUCUGGAUGUGGAACUCUUACUUUCAGCGCUGUCCCAAGUGGAUUGGACCACUCAAUAGGCUCACUGAGAUGAAACUUGAUGUCUGCGAGAUGGAGGACGAAGAUUUGGAUUUGCUCGGACAUCUACCGGCUUUGGUUCAUUUCCAACUUUGGGUGGUUCCUCUUCGUAAGGAGAAGAUUAUCAUUAAGAGAAAUGGUUUCCGUAGUCUUAAUGCUUUCCGCCUCUGGUCAGGGCUGCCAUGCUUAGUUUUCCAAGAGAAGUCAAUGCCAAGGCUCGAAACCCUCGAGUUGAUGUUCAGUGCUUGUGGGGCAAAAUCAUAUGGAAGCACACAUUCUGGUAUUGAGCACCUUCACGAUCUAAAAAAUGUCAAUGUUACAAUAUAUACAGACGGUGCCAGACAAUCAAACAUUGAGGCUGCAUGUCAUAUGAUCCGUCAACAAAUUGCUAAGCACCCGAAUAAUGUCAGGGGCAAUAUUACUUAUAGUAGUGGCUACAUCGGGGGUGUAAUGAACGAUGGCAGUGUUGACGAGGAGGCCAUUGUACUGGGUUCUGAGGGCAGCAAAUAGUGAGCUCUGUUUAUUCUUAUCCGUACUGCACAACCACUAACUCAUACAUCAAGUGGAGGAUCGUAGCCGUAGUGGAAAACUACUGUAAAAGGUCGUUUAAUUGGGCACCAGGCUGCAAGAGUUCAGCAUGAUACUGAUCUCCAGGGCCGGUAUUGAUUGUGGUGACUUCAACCAAUUAAUCUACCACGCCGCUGAUAAGAACAACUCUCGCCUUAACCUCCACUCCAUGAGAAGGUUUCGGCACCUGAUUGAUGAUUGUCAACUGCAGGAGCUUUAUUUACUCGGGAGGCUGUAUACCUUUGAGCAGUGUAUUGGAGACCUACGCUUCAGCGUAUUGACCACGCGUUCGCGUCAAUCGAGUGGCUUGAGGCCUUCCCCAGACAUCACUUGCUCGGAUCAUGCACACCGCUGCUGCUACAGCUAUAUAUGUACCCAAGCCAAACCCUGUUUCCACUUUGAAUCCUUCUGGGUGCGCCUCGACGGCCACCUGCCUGGUGCUGAUGCCUGAGGCCCUCGACCAUAAACUGAAGAGAUUGACGAAGUUGCUGCCCAGCUGGAGCAUGAAGAACAUCGGAAGUGUGCGCUCCCAGCUCUUCAUAUUGUUCACUGCAAUGUUAAGAAAGAUUAAUAAGCUCACAUCUACAAAAUGAUUAAUAGCUAGAUGCACGUCCUCCUUUUUCCCUAUGGUUGUCUUGUGAAAGCCCUCUAUAAAAAAGAAAAAGAUUGAGGGGCCAAACCGUUACGAACCACAGUUGAAAAUCGAUUUUGAUAGGUGAUUAUUACAAAGGUGGGCUCCAUUUCUAGACACGGGCCACACAAAUUACAAACUGGGAUUUAAAUAGCCAUUUCUAUCGUCAGUUUGUAAUGAGUCCUAUCUUUAGAAAUAGGGAACGUA